CCUACGGUGGUCAGCAGUGGGGAAUAUUGGACAAUGGGCGAAAGCCUGAUCCAGCCAUGCCGCGUGUGUGAAGAAGGCCUUCGGGUUGUAAAGCACUUUCAGUGGGGAAGAAAGCCUUGGGGCUAAUACCCUCGAGGAAGGACAUCACCCACAGAAGAAGCACCGGCUAACUCCGUGCCAGCAGCCGCGGUAAUACGGAGGGUGCGAGCGUUAAUCGGAAUUACUGGGCGUAAAGCGCGCGUAGGCGGUCUGAUAAGCCGGUUGUGAAAGCCCCGGGCUCAACCUGGGAACGGCAUCCGGAACUGUCAGGCUAGAGUGCAGGAGAGGAAGGUAGAAUUCCCGGUGUAGCGGUGAAAUGCGUAGAGAUCGGGAGGAAUACCAGUGGCGAAGGCGGCCUUCUGGACUGACACUGACGCUGAGGUGCGAAAGCGUGGGUAGCAAACAGGAUUAGAUACCCCUGUAGUC
rnacentral:rRNA from 1 species